rnacentral:rRNA from 1 species
ACCGGCGCACGGGUGAGUAACACGUAUCCAACCUGCCCUUUCUCGGGGGAUAGCCUUUCGAAAGAAAGAUUAAUACCCGAUAGCAUAAUGAUUCCGCAUGGUUUCAUUAUUAAAGGAUUCCGGUAAAGGAUGGGGAUGCGUUCCAUUAGGUUGUUGGUGAGGUAACGGCUCACCAAGCCUUCGAUGGAUAGGGGUUCUGAGAGGAAGGUCCCCCACAUUGGAACUGAGACACGGUCCAAACUCCUACGGGAGGCAGCAUG